rnacentral:rRNA from 1 species
AACGCUGGCGGCGUGCCUAAUACAUGCAAGUCGAGCGAAUGGAUUAAGAGCUUGCUCUUAUGAAGUUAGCGGCGGACGGGUGAGUAACACGUGGGUAACCUCCAUAAGACUGGGAUAACUCCGGGAAACCGGGGCUAAUACCGGAUAAUAUUUUGAACUGCAUGGUUCGAAAUUGAAAGGCGGCUUCGGCUGUCACUUAUGGAGGACCCGCGUCGCAUUAGCUAGUUGGUGAGGUAACGGCUCACCAAGGCAACGAUGCGUAGCCGACCUGAAGGGUGAUCGGCCACACUGGGACUGAGACACGGCCCAGACUCCUACGGGAGGCAGCAGUAGGGAAUCUUCCGCAAUGUGACGAAAGUCUGACGGAGCAACGCCGCGUGAGUGAUGAAGGCUUUCGGGUCGUAAAACUCUGUUGUUAGGGAAGAACAAGUGCUAGUUGAAUAAGCUGGCACCUUGACGGUACCUAACCAGAAAGCCACGGCUAACUACGUGCCAGCAGCCGCGGUAAUACGUAGGUGGCAAGCGUUAUCCGGAAUUAUUGGGCGUAAAGCGCGCGCAGGUGGUUUCUUAAGUCUGAUGUGAAAGCCCACGGCUCAACCGUGGAGGGUCAUUGGAAACUGGGAGACUUGAGUGCAGAAGAGGAAAGUGGAAUUCCAUGUGUAGCGGUGAAAUGCGUAGAGAUAUGGAGGAACA